CGUGCCUAACAACAUAGCAAGUCGAACGAAGCAAUUUUGGUUUGAGAUUCGUCAAGAACCGGGAUUGACUUAGUGGCGGACGGGUGAGUAAUGUAUGAGCAACCUGCCUUUCAGAGGGGGACAACAGUUGGAAACGACUGCUAAUACCGCAUAAUGUAUUUUGAGGGCAUCCUCGGGAUACCAAAGGAGCAAUCCGCUGAAAGAUGGGCUCAUAUCUGAUUAGUUAGUUGGCAGGGUAACGGCCUACCAAGACUGCGAUCAGUAGCCGGACUGAGAGGUUGAACGGCCACAUUGGGACUGAGAUACGGCCCAGACUCCUACGGGAGGCAGCAGUGGGGAAUAUUGGGCAAUGGGCGAAAGCCUGACCCAGCAACGCCGCGUGAAGGAAGAAGGUCUUCGGAUUGUAAACUUCUUUUAUGAGGGACGAAGGAAGUGACGGUACCUCAUGAAUAAGCCACGGCUAACUACGUGCCAGCAGCGGC
rnacentral:rRNA from 1 species